CCUUCUCACCGGAGAAGGCAACUGGGCUGCUUUCUCCGGCGAGAAGGCAGCCCAGUGGGUCGCCUUCUCGCCGGAGAAGGCAGCCCAGUUGCCUUCUCCGGUGAGAAGG
rnacentral:pre_miRNA from 1 species